ACUGGGUGCAGGGCCCUUGACCCAAUCGCAGUCCAAGCUUCCCGAUGACGCACCUGGUCAGGGUCCUCUCCCACGUUUGAGGGGGGGCAAAGUGAGCAUCCCCAGUCCAGGGGACACCCAGUCUGUCUUGACAGGAGUGGGCAGGAUAAAAGGGCACCUUGGGGCUGAAACCUCAUGCCGAACUCCCCGGCUUUCCCUCCAUUUCCAGCAUAUCGUUUUGAAUUAGGGGCACUCUUCUACCCUAAAGUCCUGCUCACCCAGAGUCUCUCCAAAGCAAGACAAUAAUGCGCCUUCCGGCCUUCCUCGCUCAGGCUUCUUCAUUCUCUCUGCCACCAUCCUGUGGAAGUCAGACAGACCUGGCUUCAGAGCCUGGUUCCGGGUUCCAGUUUGCCUACUCCCUUUGCAUAUCUUGGAACUUGCCAGCCUUCAUAAACUCAUGAACCAUUCCUAAUAACAUACCUCUGUCCAUAUAUCUACAUCUUCUUGGUUCUUCCUCAGUGCAACCCUGACUAAUACAGUCAAAUCUACACAGAGUGUAGAUCUCCUAGACUCUAAUAGGUCCUUAGGGAUAGAGGAAGUCAGAAGAAAAGAGAAUCAAGAGGACCUCCUCCGUGUCCUGAUUCUGGAGCCAGGUGGCAAGAAGUGCUUGGAGGUCACUGGAGAAGACAAGGGCAUUCUGAAUGGAAUUCACAGUGUGUGCAAGGGUGGGGAAGGGAGAAGAAAUCAGGAACCUGCAAAGAGGGCCAAGCACAGAAUGUGCAUAUAAAGAUGCUGAGAAAUGUCCAAGAACACAGAUGUCUUGUAUUAUAUCCAGUUUUGGCUUCCUCAGUAGUAAAAGUGAGUCAAUGAAGUAUAAUAAGUGGGAUGGCAAAUUCAAAUUUUCCCAGCCCAAAACUAGUAGCUUAUAUGCAUAGGAGCCUCCAUUGGACUCUUUUACAUAAAUGUAUUUAUAGCAGUAUUUCAUGUUUUUAUCCAAUAAUUAUUAAUAUAAUAAUUGCAAUGACUAUUGACUGAUUCUGUGUGCUAGAUAGCUACAGUGCAAGCAUAUCACACAUUUCUCAUUUACCAUUCAUAAUAACUCCUGGAACUGGAUCAGAGCAUAUAUAUAAAUUCAAGCACAGAGAAGUUAGUGAUUUGUCCUUGUGAUUUCAGAAAAGCAGAGUGUGAGAAUUUCUUUCUUGAUAUUCAUUCUCUCCUUCCUCCUUAUUAACAGAAUCUUGUUUUUAUUUAGGAUGAUGAUGAUCCAAUUAAAAGGCCAAAUGUUCCAGCCUUCCUUGUGUGACUAAAUUCUGGCCAACUGGAUCUAAUAAAAAUUUUUGAAUGGGAUUUCUAAAAAAGAUUUUUAAAUAGAAAUGAUAGCUAGUGCUAGGCUCAUUUUCCUUUAGUUUCCUGCUUUGGACAUAGUGUUGAUGGUUGGAGCUCUGAUAAUCUUUAUGGUUGGUGACAUAGGCUACAAAGAGCUGAGCAAAAACAGGGCACUUGAUUAAUGUUAGCCAACCAACCUUGCAGUAACUUUGUCUUGUAUUUUUUUAACUUAAUUGAUUUUAUUUUUUAAAAUACAUGACAGCAGAAUGCUUUACAAUUCUUAUUAUACAUAUAGAGCACAAUUUUUCAUAUCUUUG